UGUCUGGAUAAGAUCCAUGUUGCUGACACCAAGAAGGAGGCCAGUCUGUGAUCUAAGCUGAGGCAGUGUUGAGAAGAAGCAAUCAUGGUAACAGCAGCUUAAACGAAGUGGAAGUUUCUCUUUCUUACAUUUCAAGAGGAGUGGAAUCCGUCAGUUUGGGGCUGAUAUGGUGCCAUAUGUUGUUAGACACUCAUUCCUUUUCCACCCUGGCAUCCCUUGUUUCAUGGCAUCCUGCACAUCAGCAGCAACAAGAAGAAAGAAGAAUACAAGAAGAAAGAACAAGAUCAUGGGCCAGGGAAAUACUUCAGUAAAGGCAUGAUUACAUGAUUCCCAAGAAGUUCAGAAGAAACUGCUGUGUGAUUUGCUUGCUAUGUUCCUGCUCUGGGGACACAAGACAUUGUUUUUGAAAGGUGACAAUUCUCUAAUCAUGGUACACAGAGAUAAAUACUUUAUUUUCCUCCAGGGAGAAAAAGAGAUGCAGUAAAUGCUUAAUGGGUUUUUCUUCAAUGCCACAAAGUCAGUAGCUAUAAAUCUUGAACAC
rnacentral:lncRNA from 10 species